GUAACUGAAGAACCGAAGAGAUUCAUGACUCAGGAAGUGGCAAGGGGAUUUUCUUUAUUUGAGGAGGCACUGUUAGUAUUUGAGGCAUGGGACCCAAACGUAGAAUGGUACACAAGGGUUGCAGCAGCUGUUCAGAAUGCAAUCCAGUAUUAUCACGUCAUCUAUGAUGAGAAAAAAAGAGCUACUACCCAGACAUCACUGGAUGGUUUUUUCAAGAGAGUAGAUAGAAUUGAAUCCAGCAAGGAACCAGAACCUGUGCCAUCACCGUCAGGCGUGAGUGAAACUGCAGCUUGCCCUCCGUCUCCUGUUGCUGACGAUCCUUCGGCUCUACCACCUCCCACCUCCUCUCCCUCCUCCAGUCAGUAACUCUUCUUGCCUGUUCACUCGAUGCCAGUCCCUGUAUGCCAGCUGUUGUACUGUACUACUGUACUUUUCAAGUACCCAGGCCUCUGACUGUUGUGGCCUCUCCCAUUGCAGAGCACAGGCUCCGGACACGCAGGCUCAGCAGCCAUGGCUCAUGGGCCCAGCCUCUCCGCGGCAUGUGGGAUCCUCCUGGACCGGGGCACGAACCCGCACCCCCUGCAUUGGCAGGCAGACUCUCAACCACUGCGCCACCUGGGAAGCCCUCCAUGGAAUAUCUUUUUCCAUCCCCUCACUUUCAGUCUGUAUGUGUCCCUAGGUCUGAAGUGGGUCUCUUGUAGACAGCAUAUAUAUGGGUCUUGUUUUUUGUAUCCGUUCAGUGAGCCUGUGUCUUUCGGUUGGAGCAUUUAAUCCAUUCACAUUUAAGGUAAUUAUUGAUAUGUAUGUUCCUAUGACCAUUUUCUUAAUUGUUACGCGUUUGUUUUUGUAGGUCCUUUUCUUCUCUGUGUUUACCACUUAGAGAAGUUUCUUUAGCAUUUGUUGUAGAGCUGGUUUGGUGGUGCUGAAUUCUCUUAGCUUUUGCUUGUCUGUAAAGCUUUUGAUUUCUCCAUCAAAUCCGAAUGAGAUCCUUUCCGGGUAGAGUAAUCUUGGUUGUAGGUUCUUCCCUUUCGUCACUUUAAAGAUAUCAUUCCACUCCCUUCUGGCUUGUAGAGCUUCUGCUGAGAAAUCAGCUGUUAACCUUAUGGGAGUUCCCUUGUAUGUUACUUGUCAUUUUUCCCUUGUUGCUUUCAAUAAUUUUUCUUUGUCUUUAAUUUCUGUCAAUUUGAUUACUAUGGGUCUCGGCAUGUUUCUCCUUGGGUUUAUCCUGCCUGGGACUCUCUGUGCUUCCUGGACUUGGGUGGCUAUUUCCUUUCCCAUGUUAGGGAAGUUUUCAACUAUAAUCUCUUCAAAUAUUUUCUUGGGUCCUUUCUCUCUCUCUCUUCUCCUUCUGGGACCCUUAUAAUGCUAAUGUUGUUGUGUUUAAUGUUGUCCCAGAGGUCUCUUAGGCUGCCUUCAUGUAUUUUCAUUCUUUUUUUCUUUAUUCUAUUCCACAGCAGUGAAUUCCACGAUUUUGUUUUCCAGGUCACUUAUCCGUUCUUCUGCCUCAGUUAUUCUGCUAUUGCUUCCUUCUAGUGUAUGUUUUCAUUUCAGCUAUUGUAUUGUUCAUCUCUGUUUGUUUGUUCUUUAAUUCUUCUAGGCGUUUGUUCUUUAGUUCUUCUAGGUGUUUGUUAAACAUCUCUUGCAUCUUCACGAUCUUUGCCUCCAUUCUUUUUCCGAGGUCCUGGAUCAUCUUCACUAUCAUUAUUCUGAAUUCUUUGUCUGGAAGGUUGCCUAUCUCCACUUCAUUUACUUGUUUUUCUGGGGUUUUAUCUUGUUCCUUCAUCUGGUACAUAAUCUUCUGCCUUUUCUUUUUGUCUGUCUUUCUAUGAAUGUGGUUUUCCUUCCACAGGCUGCAGAACUGUAGUUCUUCUUGCUUCUGCUCAGUUUAUUUACUUUUCACUGGUACUUUUGUGUUCUGUCCCCUUGUCUUUUCUACUUUUUGUCUAAAUUCUAAGCACAGAUUCAUUGCCUUGUAGCAUGGGGCUGUGAUUUAUAAGUCAUCAGUCAAAUGUAUGGCUUCUCAGUAAGCCAGAAACUGGGUAAUAGUAAAGUAUUCCCACACACAUACACAUAGCAUCAUCAUCGUGUGCUAGUUACUUUGUGUGUUAACCCAAUUAAUACUCACAUCAACCCUGUGAGGUAGGUACCAUUCCCAUUUCCAUUUCACUGAUGGGGAAAAUUUAGCUCAGAGAAGUUACAUAUUUUGCCCAGCAUCAUUACUGUUAGUGACAAUAAUAGACUAUACAUUUUAUUGUCUUCUGAUUCAGGACAGUGUCUCCUGUCCCACAGACGUAAUCAUAAAAAUGGAAUAGCUAGUGCUCUUUAAAAAAAAAAUCUUGAUGUAGUAAAACCUGUUUCUCCCACCCACCCUUCCUCUAUUCUUCUAAACCUCUUCCCUUUCUCCUUCAAAUAUUGAAUGUCCCCAACAUGUGGACAUCACCAGCAUGCCAAGUAUAUGUCAGGAAAUGUUGCCAUGAAAAAUAAUAACAGGAUCUGCUUCUCAGUGUUUGUUCAUGUAAAAACAAGACCACACUCUAUAUUUUCCAGCCAACGUGUCAUGUAGGUCAUUCCACUCAUUGGCAUGUGGACCUGUUCUUCCUGCCUACUGAGUUAGUCAGAAUUGGAACAUUUGAGUGGAUGUGUAUCAACCUCCUUGGAAGGAAAAAUAUCAGCAUAAACAAUACGAUUUGUAAGUAUUGAGAAUCAUAAGAGUCACAGCCUAUCCAGAUGGAUUAUAUCACUUGAUUCUGACAACAUUCCUGAGAGGUAGAGAACACCCAUAGUAUGACUGGCCCCAAUUUACAGGUGAAGAAACAGAGGCUGAGAGAAGUUAAAUGAUUUACUGAAAGUUAAUAAGUUAGUAAGAGGUGGCAGCUUCACCAGAAUCCAUGUUUUUAUUUUUUUGAAACUGUAAUCUUUCCCCCACAUGCCAGGAGAGGAGGAGUAGAAGGGAAUGAAACUAGUCACGUGAUAGAGCCUGGUCCGAGGAGAAGCACACUGGAGAAGCUAAGAGCCUUCAGCAGCGGCAGGGGAAGCCCCCUGGUGUAAGAGAAGGCAGACUCUACACAGUCUGGGAGAAGGAGGGAGGCAGGAGCAGGAGAGUGGGCACCUGCAGCUGGGGACUUGGCAGGAGAGACUGUUCUCCAGUGUUCUCGCUCAGAAAGUAAAUGUAUUUGAAAUGCUGAGGACUCCACAUAUAUUCUGUUAAUAAUUUACCAACUGAAACCAUUAAAGAUGUUGACAAAA